UAAUAACCAAUAAGAGAUUUCAUCUGAAGGAACCACUUUCUUGCCUCAUCCAUAAAAAGCAACUCCUUAUUCAUUCAAAUUUUGUCAUAAGAUUGAAGCUAUUCAGUCACAUCUUCAAGAUCUA